rnacentral:rRNA from 1 species
GGGUUUGACAUAGCAGUGGUAGAGAAGCGAAAGCGGACCGACCCUUCGGGGAGCUGUUACAGGUGUUGCAUGGCUGUCGUCAGCUCGUGUCGUGAGAUGUUCGGUUAAGUCCGCUAACGAGCGCAACCCGCGUUGUGUGUUACAAGUGUCACACAAUACCGCCGGUAUUAAGUCGGAGGAAGGUGCGGAUGACGUCAAGUCAGCAUGACCUUUAUAUCCAGGGCUACACACACGCUACAAUGGUCGGCACAAUAGGUUGCCAAGUCGUGAGACGGAGCCAAUCCUCCAAAGCCGGCCUCAGUUCAGAUUGCAGGCUGCAACUCGCCUGCAUGAAGUUGGAGUUGCUAGUAAACGCAGGUCAGCUAUACUGCGUUGAAUACGUUCCCGGGAUU